CUGUGCGAGUGAAUGUUAAUACCGUGAGGGAAUUUAAAACGAAGAACCAUGAAUCAAGGUCUCAAGCUCAUUCUUGUACUUGUUUCUAUGGUUUUUGUGUCAGGAUAUUUCAUGACACCGGUCCGAGCAGAUCCAUCGAAAUGUGGCGUCUUCUAUAGAAGAAGGUGCCGUUUUCCUGAAAUAAGAAAAUUGUGCGGGGAUUUAUGUAAUGGGCGUUAGCAGGCAGUUCCAUCUCCAAGGAAAAGUUAACUGCAGACGUUCUAAAUAUCAU